UGGGGAAUAUUGCACAAUGGGCGAAAGCCUGAUGCAGCAACGCCGCGUGAGUGAUGAAGGUCUUCGGAUUGUAAAGCUCUGUCUUUUGGGACGAUAAUGACGGUACCAAAGGAGGAAGCCACGGCUAACUACGUGCCAGCAGCCGCGGUAAUACGUAGGUGGCGAGCGUUGUCCGGAUUUACUGGGCGUAAAGGGUGCGUAGGCGGAUGUUUAAGUGAGAUGUGAAAUACCCGGGCUUAACUUGGGUGCUGCAUUUCAAACUGGAUAUCUAGAGUGCAGGAGAGGAGAAUGGAAUUCCUAGUGUAGCGGUGAAAUGCGUAGAGAUUAGGAAGAACACCAGUGGCGAAGGCGAUUCUCUGGACUGUAACUGACGCUGAGGCACGAAAGCGUGGGUAGCAAACAGGAUUAGAUACCCUGGUAGUCCGCGCCGUAAACGAUGAGUACUAGGUGUAGGAGGUAUCGACCCCUUCUGUGCCGCAGUAAACACA
rnacentral:rRNA from 1 species